AGGUAUACAGACGAGGAGGCACACAAAGGCCUCUACAUUAUGGACAAGAUACUUCACCCUCCCUACACCUCUGAUGAAUUUAACAGGAAACAUGUUCGAUCACCAUGCACUGCAAAAUCAUUCUGGAUAUGGAUACGGAGAACAUUAACACAAAAAAAUUGAUACGGCGAACAUUUGCCACUAAAAUCACAAUAAACACUGACAACUAAAAUAUUGUGUUAUUGUUAUGCGUAUUAUUACUACUAAUUAUAAUAUGAGAAGGGGGGUGGUUCAAAAAUUAACCCCAAAAGGUUCUUCAAAAGAUUAUUUGGGCCUCCCGAGUGGUGUAGCGGUCUAAGGCGACAUCACU